CCUCCUCCGCCGCCGCCCCCAUUGGCUUGGCCCUCUCUAGUUCCCGACUUCCUGCCCUGCCCGCGCCGCGUCACCGUAUCCUCCUUCUCCGCUGCACCGCCGCAGUCCUUCUCCUGCCCCUCCACUGGAACCAACCGGAGAACGCCUGGAAGUGGAGGAAAUCCCCGUCUGUCUCUCUACUGGAUCUGGAUCGGCUCCCGUGACUCUUUCUCCCUCUGUUGAUCCGGCAUGGAGGUCAAACCUGGCGUCGGUUUGUCUUAGCGGAGCAGCCGUGUGGUGGCCGGUCUACGGCAUGGCUCAUUGGAGGUAGCAGCGACAGCGGCAUCGCAGUUUCCUUCCCCGUCCAUGAGGCACACAUACUGGAACACGGCGGUCCAGCCAACCUCUGGCCUCCGCUUCUUCCUCCCCGACGGUGCUGUGGAACCAACGCUGGGUUCCUCUACCCCAGACCGUGGCAUAACACGCACGAACUGAAGAUAAGUUAUUCUAUUUCUUCCUUAAAGUGAGAUCGUUUGCUUCUCUGAUCCAGUUCUAGUAAUUUGUACAAGGCCUUAGCUUGUUGUCAGGGAGAAACUUUCAUCUCAUUGCUAAAACUUGGGUAAACUAUGGGCAUACAAAAUACAUCUUUGUUUUUGUUGCCUUACAAACAUGGCUGUGAACAAACCGAAUGUUGGCAAACAAUUGUAUAUCCAUUUUCACUUAUUAUGAUAUUUCUGAAAGUGAAAGGGACUAAUGAUAGCACAGAGAGCAGAGAGCACACGGGAUAUGUUGGAAAAAUUGGUCGAAGUUACAAUGCAUUAGCUGGCAUAAAUAUAGCACAACUAGCAUGCCUAAAUGCACACAACAUCGAUGGUAAGAUAUGCUUGACAACUACCUAACAGGAUCAGAUUAUUCAUUUUGUAAAUGUAAAAAAAAUAUUAUUGUCUUCACAACGUCCACCACUGAAUAUCUCUAUGUAUUUCUAGACCUUGAUUGGAUAUUAAAAAGACAAUCCAAUUUAUCUUCUCGCUUAUGUCCUGGAAGGUUUCAGGAUCUGUAUCUAUAUUCGUGAUUGCUACUGCAUGUGUUCUGACUCGGCUUGUACCUUCAUUAAAAUGAAGUAAUACUAAAGCUAUGUAUGAGUCUGAUUCGUGCAAGCCUUGUUCCUACUGCUGCCACCUUGUAUAAAUAUAUACAGGUUCGUGCAAUACUUGCUCCUACUUCAAAUUUUUAGUCUGAACGCCUAUAUAUACUUGCAUUAGACUAAAUUUGUAGUCUGAUUCGUGAAGUAGGAGCAAGGGUUGUUCCUACUGCUGCCACCAUGUAUAAAUAUAUACUGGUUAAUUUCAUUUAACUAUUUUUUCUGUCACAAAUAAUAGUACUAUGCUGGUCAAGUGGGCAGCGUAUAGAAUCGUCUUGCACAGAAGUAACACGGAUAAUAUAAUCAAUGGGUUUAUGAUAGAAAAUCAUUUCUGUAUAUCCUGAAUGAAUAUAAACGAUGCAUGAUUAUUUCAAGUUGCACUUUCCUAUCUAUUAUCUCAUUGUUUAUCAAGUAUUUUCAUGUUUCAUAGUCCACUACAUUACAAUGGGUUUAUAUGGCCUCAACUAAUGCUGCUAUAGUAGGAGUUCUGUGAUGUGUGUUUCGUCACUUUGUCAUUUGACACACUUUUCUUUGGGUUAAUUUUAAGCAACC
rnacentral:rRNA from 1 species